AGAUGAAGAACGUAGCGAAAUGCGAUAAGUAAUGUGAAUUGUAGAAUUCAGUGAAUCAUCGAAUCUUUGAACGCACAUUGCGCCCGCCAGUAUUCUGGCGGGCAUGCCUGUUCGAGCGUCAUUUCAACCCUCAGGCCCCCAGUGCCUGGCGUUGGGGAUCGGCGCGGCGCCCUCCGGGGCGCUGCCGGCCCCGAAAUUCAGUGGCGGUCUCGCUGUAGCCCUCCUCCGCGUAGUAGCACAACCUCGCGGCCUGGAGCUCGGCGGUGGCCAUGCCGUAAAACACCCCACUUCUGAAAGUUGACCUCGGAUCAGGUAGGAAUACCCGCUGAACUUAAGCAUAUCAAUAAGCGGAGGA
rnacentral:misc_RNA from 1 species